UACGUAGGGUGCGAGCGUUAAUCGGAAUUACUGGGCGUAAAGCGUGCGCAGGCGGUUCGUUGUGUCGGCGGUGAAAGCCCCGGGCUUAACCUGGGUAUGGCCGUUGAAACUGGCGAACUGGAGUGUGGCAGAGGGGGGUGGAAUUCCGCGUGUAGCAGUGAAAUGCGUAGAGAUGCGGAGGAACACCGAUGGCGAAGGCAGCCCCCUGGGCUAACACUGACGCUCAGGCACGAAAGCGUGGGGAGCAAACAGG
rnacentral:rRNA from 1 species